rnacentral:misc_RNA from 1 species
GAUGAAGAACGUAGCGAAAUGCGAUAAGUAAUGUGAAUUGCAGAAUUCAGUGAAUCAUCGAAUCUUUGAACGCACCUUGCGCCUUUUGGUAUUCCGAAAGGCACACCUGUUUGAGCGUCAUGAAUACCUCAAUCUCCAUCUUUUCUUCGGAUUGAUGGGUGACUUGGAUGUUGAGCCCUGCUGGUAUGCUAUAUCAGCUGGCUUUACUUAUUAGCCGGCUCUGUACUGGAUCGGUUUGACUCGACGUGAUAAUAUUAUCGUUGAGGAUGCAUGUCUCAUGCAGCCGGAAAGUAUCAAAGCAGCUUCUAGCUUGCCUUUAGUGCACUUUUACAUUUUAGACCUCAGAUCAGGUGGGACUACCCGCUGAACUUAAGCAUAUCAAUAAGCGGAGGA